AUGUUGUCCCUGAAGCUGGAUAUUGCCAAGGCAUUUGACAUGCUGGCAUGGCCAUAUCUGAUAAAUAUGUUGCGAGCCCGGGGCUUUGGUCAGCGAUGGUGUGAUUGGAUUUCUAUGGUCCUCUCCUCGGCCUCUUCAAGAGUGAUCAUCAAUGGCUCGGUUGGCGACCCCAUCUUUCAUGCUAAAGGGGUGCGUCAGGGUGAUCCACUCUCCCCUUUCCUUUUCAUUCUCGCCAUGGAGCCGCUCUAUCACCUCAUCAACAAGGCGGUGGAGACUGGCCUCCUAUCGAGACUGAGAGGCAGAAUCCCCCCGGUGCGUGUCUUGCUAUAUGCUGAUGACGUGGCUCUCUUCACUAACCCGGUAAGGAAGGAGCCUCAGACCCUGAAAUCCAUCCUCGCCGCCUUGGGGUAUGUCGUUGGUCUGCAUGUCAACUUCUCCAAGAGCUCGAUCAUCCCCAUCCGCUGCGACGGUAUGGACGUUGAGGAGUUGGUUGCCCUGCCGCUCUCCGUCAGGAAGCUGUGCAAGAUCGAUUUCUUGCCCCUGCUCGAUAAAAUCUGUGCAUGUUUGGCUUGCUGGAAGGCUCGCUUGCUCUCGGCUGUAGGAAGACUUGUCCUCAUUAGCGUUGUCCUCUCGUCUAUGACAGUCUACUGGCUUGUGAUGUUUGAGCUGCCGGUUUGGGCCCGCCUACAGAUUGACAAGCUGCGUCGUGCUUGGUUAGGGCACGGGUCUCAUGGUGGUCACUGCAAGGUGGCUUGGCGCACGGUCAGCAGGCCCAAAUAG
rnacentral:rRNA from 1 species